GAAAAUUGUUUCAGAUAAAUCAAAAAAUUAUUAAAUACUAUUGUUUUUAAGAAAGCUUGCCUGAACUUUAGAUAAAUCUCAGCGGUUGUAAUAAUUUUCUCAAAAUAUCAUGAGUCAAAACUUAAUAAAAAAACUGAUUUCUAACUCAAAAAAUGAAGACGGCCGCAAAGAAAAUCUCAACAUCCUCAACGGCUAUAUUACGAACUCUAUAUUGAUUCAUGACUAUCUAAACGUAUGUUACAAAGGAGAACACACAGCUGACGCAGAAUGGUUAAUUAAACACAAAAUAGAUAUUACCAAAGUUUGUGUCGAAACAAUUGACAAAAAAGAUGUAAAAAAAAUUGUGACACCUUUAGAAAGGUCCUGCGAGCGACAGUAUGUGGAAACUAUCAACCCAUUAAUAACAAAUUUGGAGAAACAAACUUUAGAAGACAGAAAUAAAAUACUGUGUUCAUCGCUAAGCAUCACAAUAAAACGUUUAGGUGACGAUGAAGCAACCUAUAAAAAAUCUAAUGAAGAACCUGACGAAAAAUUUGAUGAAGAAUCUAAUGAAUAUAUAGAAUGUUACAAACUGGUAUUACAAGCUGUCAAAAGGAUGAAAGAUUUGGACACUGAACAAUAUGAAGAUAUUUUCCAACAAACACCUCUGUUUUACGCCAACUACUAUAAUCACCCGAAGAUUGCAGUGGAAAUUCUUGAAACAGUAUGUUUGAUAAAUGACCGUAGCGGUGUUAGUCCUAUCUAUCAAAUAGAUACAAAGACAUUAGAAGAACACCUAGACCGGUGCAUAACUACAGAAAAAGGUCCAUCCGACAAUCCGGGAACACAUAUCAAGUUUAACUUUGAAACAUUACUAUGUAGAGAAAGACAUAAACAUGAGACCAGCAAAGCUCACAAUGAAACAGAAGUUUUGUUCAAAAUUCGUAAUUCAAACAAAUUUGAUAAUCUCCUUUUGCAUCCUGUUAUCGUAGCAUUUUUGUUAAUGAAGUGGAAAGGUACAAAAUUGUAUGAGAUUUUUUACUGGUUUCGUUUAUUUUUUUGGGGUUUUAAUACAAUACUGUUUAUGGUUUAUACAAAUGUCUUACCAUAUUAUUUUUGUUUGAAUAAUACAAAUAUCUUACCAUAUUAUUUUUGUUUGACUAUGCACAUUAUUUAUCUUAUAUAUGUAGUCGUUGAAACAAUAAUAACGAAAGACUUUUCUCGAAGCACAUGUGUACGUACUAUUAUUUUGAUUUUAAUGUUGAUUUUAAUAUUGAUUUUACUAUUUCAUGCAAACACAUGGUCCAAAUUGAUAGCAUGUUUAACUAUAGCCUUGUCGUGCUUUGAAAUGCUUCUGCUUUUUAGUGUGCGCUCUAUAUAUGGAGAAAUGGUUAAAGUGGUAUUUGUUAACAUAAUGAAACUACUAUUUUGGUAUUCUUUUAUAGUAUUGCUACCCCUUAUAGUUAUUUACAAUACAAUUUUUGAUAAUUCCGUAACAAAAAAAUGGCCGAAAUCGAUCGUAAAUAUUUUUUCACUUCUUCUUGGCAACACAGACUCUGACUCUUUGUCUGAUUUACCAACAGAUGCAUUCAUCUACCUACUUUUAAUCAUUAUACUAUCAAUAUCACUUUCUAAUGUAAUUAAUGGAAAAGCUGUGAAUGACAUACAGAAUUUGGAACAACAAUCGGAUGUUCUUCGUCAAAAAGCAAAAAUUCAAUUUAUGUAUCGUACUGACAAGAUUGUAAAUCUUAUACCAGGAAAAAAAAAUAUCAACAGUACACCAAGUUUGGUGUCAGGACUCAUCAAUCCUCGUAUAAUCUCAGACCGCACAAAUUAUAGUGGUAAAAGCAGCAAGAAGAUUAUAUUUUUUGACGAGCAAAUCAUCGAAUGUCUUAACCUUCAUUUUAAAAAAAAGGACAACCCAAUUUUUGUUUUUUCAGGUAAUUUGGAAAUUGAUGUUACAAAAGAUAAUAACGACAAAUCAUCAGUUUAAUAAUUCCUCAUAUUAUACUUGAUUCAUUUAACAAUUAUCAUAAUUUCAUGUUUUUUAUUAUUUUUAAUUAAUAUUGUUCGCUUAUUGUUAUUUGACUAAUUGGGUACUUUGUAAAACUUACAUUUUAAUUUCAUUUUAAGUAUGUAUCGUUAUGCCUCCAUCUGGUAUAUUUUCUUUUGUAUUCUCAUUUUCUGUAAUAUCAUAAAUGCAUUAUUUAAGACCCACCACUGACCCGGAAAUGACCGGCAUUCAGGCAAGACUUCUAUCAAUACGGGUACUAAGACCAAAUAAUGAUAUUAUUAUUAUUUUUAUUACUGUUAUUAUGUAUCUCUAUUAUUGAGACAAUUUUAUUUCAUAGUUCAUUUAAAGAUAAUAUUAUAAUUUUAAACAAAAUUGUCUAAAAUAAACAACAUCUUCAAGUAACUACCUCUUAGCUAUUAGUCACGAUUUGUUGUAUUUGUUGUGAAGUUUUUGUAAUCAAGUCUUAUUGAUAAUAAAAAUCUUAAUUGUAAA